rnacentral:rRNA from 1 species
CAGCAGUGGGGAAUUUUGCGCAAUGGGCGAAAGCCUGACGCAGCGACGCCGCGUGUAUGAUGAAGGCCCUUGGGUCGUAAAGUACUGUCAGCUGAGACGAAAACCUGGAGGUGAAUAGCCUUUGGGCUUGACGGUAUCAGUGGAGGAAGCACCGGCUAACUCUGUGCCAGCAGCCGCGGUAAUACAGAGGGUGCAAACGUUGCUCGGAAUGACUGGGCGUAAAGCGCGCGUAGGCGGUGAGUUAAGUCGACUGUGAAAGCCCAUGGCUCAACCAUGGAAGAGCAGUCGAAACUGGCUCGCUGGAGUCCCGGAGAGGGUGGUGGAAUUCCUAGUGUAGAGGUGAAAUUCGUAGAGAUUAGGAGGAACACCGGUGGCGAAGGCGACCACCUGGACGGGUACUGACGCUGAGGCGCGAAAGCGUGGGGAGCAAACAGGAUUAGA